rnacentral:rRNA from 1 species
UGUUACGGUGCCCAAAUUAACAACUCAUGCAGAUACCAUGAAAGGCGUUGGUUGCUUAAAACAGCAGGACGGUGAUCAUGGAAGUCGAAAUCCGCUAAGGAGUGUGUAACAACUCACCUGCCGAAGCAACUAGCCCUUAAAAUGGAUGGCGCUUAAGUUGUAUACCUAUACAUUACCGCUAAAGUAGAUGAUUUAUAUUACUUGUGAUAUAAAUUUUGAAACUUUAGUGAGUAGGAAGGUACAAUGGUAUGCGUAGAAGUGUUUGGCGUAAGCCUGCAUGGAGCUGCCAUUGGUACAGAUCUUGGUGGUAGUAGCAAAUAAUCGAAUGAGACCUUGGAGGACUGAAGUGGAGAAGGGUUUCGUGUGAACAGUGGUUGAUCACGAGUUAGUCGGUCCUAAGUUCAAGGCGAAAGCCGAAAAUUUUCAAGUAAAACAAAAUGCCAAAUUAUAUAAACAAAGCGAAAAUAAUACACUUGAAUAAUUUUGAACGAAAGGGAAUACGGUUCCAAUUCCGUAACCUGUUGAGUAUCCGUUUGUUAUUAAAUAUGGGCCUCGUGCUCAUCCUGGCAACAGGAACGACCAUAAAGAAGCCGUCGAGAGAUAUCGGAAGAGUUUUCUUUUCUGUUUUAUAGCCGUACUACCAUGGAAGUCUUUCGCAGAGAGAUAUGGUAGAUGGGCUAGAAGAGCAUGACAUAUACUGUUGUGUCGAUAUUUUCUCCUCGGACCUUGAAAUUUAUGGUGGGGACACGCAAACUUCUCAACAGGCCGUACCAAUAUCCGCAGCUGGUCUCCAAGGUGAAGAGUCUCUAGUCGAUAGAAUAAUGUAGGUAAGGGAAGUCGGCAAAUUAGAUCCGUAACUUCGGGAUAAGGAUUGGCUCUGAAGAUUGAGAUAGUCGGGCUUGAUUGGGAAACAAUAACAUGGUUUAUGUGCUCGUUCUGGGUAAAUAGAGUUUCUAGCAUUUAUGUUAGUUACUUGUUCCCCGGAUAGUUUAGUUACGUAGCCAAUUGUGGAACUUUCUUGCUAAAAUUUUUAAGAAUACUAUUUGGGUUAAACCAAUUAGUUCUUAUUAAUUAUAACGAUUAUCAAUUAACAAUCAAUUCAGAACUGGCACGGACUUGGGGAAUCCGACUGUCUAAUUAAAACAAAGCAUUGUGAUGGCCCUAGCGGGUGUUGACACAAUGUGAUUUCUGCCCAGUGCUCUGAAUGUCAAAGUGAAGAAAUUCAAGUAAGCGCGGGUCAACGGCGGGAGUAACUAUGACUCUCUUAAGGUAGCCAAAUGCCUCGUCAUCUAAUUAGUGACGCGCAUGAAUGGAUUAACGAGAUUCCUACUGUCCCUAUCUACUAUCUAGCGAAACCACAGCCAAGGGAACGGGCUUGGAAUAAUUAGCGGGGAAAGAAGACCCUUUUGAGCUUGACUCUAAUCUGGCAGUGUAAGGAGACAUAAGAGGUGUAGAAUAAGUGGGAGAUAUUAGACCUCGGUUUGGUAUCGUCAAUGAAAUACCACUACUCUUAUUGUUUCCUUACUUACUUGAUUAAAUGGAACGUGUAUCAUUUCCUAGCCAUUAUACGGAUAUAUUUAUUAUAUCUUAUGGUAUUGGGUUUUGAUGCAAGCUUCUUGAUCAAAGUAUCACGAGUUUGUUAUAUAAUCGCAAACAAAUUCUUUAAUAAAACGAUGCAUUUAUGUAUUUUUGAUUUGAAAAUUUGGUAUAACUCCAAUUACUCAGGUAUGAUCCAAUUCAAGGACAUUGCCAGGUAGGGAGUUUGACUGGGGCGGUACAUCUCUCAAAUAAUAACGGAGGUGUCCCAAGGCCAGCUCAGUGCGGACAGAAACCACACAUAGAGCAAAAGGGCAAAUGCUGACUUGAUCUCGGUGUUCAGUACACACAGGGACAGCAAAAGCUCGGCCUAUCGAUCCUUUUGGUUUAAAGAGUUUUUAACAAGAGGUGUCAGAAAAGUUACCAUAGGGAUAACUGGCUUGUGGCGGCCAAGCGUUCAUAGCGACGUCGCUUUUUGAUCCUUCGAUGUCGGCUCUUCCUAUCAUUGUGAAGCAAAAUUCACCAAGCGUUGGAUUGUUCACCCAUGCAAGGGAACGUGAGCUGGGUUUAGACCGUCGUGAGACAGGUUAGUUUUACCCUACUAAUGACAAAACGUUGUUGCGACAGCAUUCCUGCGUAGUACGAGAGGAACCGCAGGUACGGACCAAUGGCACAAUACUUGUUCGAGCGAACAGUGGUAUGACGCUACGUCCGUUGGAUUAUGCCUGAACGCCUCUAAGGUCGUAUCCGUGCUGGACUGCAAUGAUAAAUAAGGGGCAAUUUGCAUUGU